CCUACGGGAGGCAGCAGUGGGGAAUAGUGCACAAUGGGGGAAACCCUGAUGCAGCGACGCCGCGUGAGUGAAGAAGUAUCUCGGUAUGUAAAGCUCUAUCAGCAGGGAAGAAAAUGACGGUACCUGACUAAGAAGCCCCGGCAAACGACGUGCCAGCAGCCGCGGUAAUACGUAGGGGGCAAGCGUUAUCCGGAUUUACUGGGUGUAAAGGGAGCGUAGACGGCAGUACAAGUCUGGAGUGAAAUCCCGUGGCUUAACCCCGGAACUGCUUUGGAAACUGUGGGGCUUGAGUGCGGGAGGGGUAGGCGCACUUCCUAGUGUAGCGGUUACAUGCGUAGAUAUUAGGCGGCACUCCGGUGGCGAAGGCGGCUUACUGGACCGUACCUGACGUUGAGGCUCGAAAGCGUGGGUAGCAAACAGGAUUAGAUACCCCUGUAGUC
rnacentral:rRNA from 1 species